GGUUAUUUACCCUGUUCAUUUUUUUUUUUCUCUCUUCAGCAAAGCAAGCACCCCCGACCACAUGACCAGUUUCUUUUUCUUGAUUAUCCUUACAAAUAAAUAAUAAAAAAAACAACUUUUUAAUGCAAGUCCAAUUUAGACCACAUUGGACAUAAUGUAAAAAUAAUAUAUGUAUUCUUUAUGAUGAAGGAAGCAUGUUUGCUACUAGAGGACAGUUAAAUAAACAAAAGUCUGAUAACAUUUUA